rnacentral:rRNA from 1 species
GUUUGAUUAUGGCUCAGAUUGAACGCUGGCGGCAGGCCUAACACAUGCAAGUCGAACGGUAACAGGAAGAAGCUUGCUCUUGCUGACGAGUGGCGGACGGGUGAGUAAUGUCUGGGAAACUGCCUGAUGGAGGGGGAUAACUACUGGAAACGGUAGCUAAUACCGCAUAACGUCGCAAGACCAAAGAGGGGGACCUUCGGGCCUCUUGCCAUCGGAUGUGCCCAGAUGGGAUUAGCUAGUAGGUGGGGUAACGGCUCACCUAGGCGACGAUCCCUAGCUGGUCUGAGAGGAUGACCAGCCACACUGGAACUGAGACACGGUCCAGACUCCUACGGGAGGCAGCAGUGGGGAAUAUUGCACAAUGGGCGCAAGCCUGAUGCAGCCAUGCCCGCGUGUAUGAAGAAGGCCUUCGGGUUGUAAAGUACUUUCAGCGGGGAGGAAGGGAGUAAAGUUAAUACCUUUGCUCAUUGACGUUACCCGCAGAAGAAGCACCGGCUAACUCCGUGCCAGCCGCCGC